CCCGAUUCAUUUUCCUCCCGGGGGGAAAAAAACAGAAAACAUACGAGAGAGAGAGAGAGAGAGAGAGAUUUCGGACCUUGAAAUCCAGAAGACCCUCCACCUGAUUUCCAAUGCUUAUUCUUGAGGCAAGUCAGGGAUCCUUAAAGAUUGUAUUCUUCAAGGGCUUCAAUUAUUUAAAGCAAUGAAGACAAGGGCAGGCCCUACCCUACCCAAGGGAAUAUGUUCUAAAGAGUGCAUGUAAAAGCUGUGGUUCCACUGAGUGCAUGAGUGCCCUUGGCAAAGGGCACUUCACCCCAACUCAUCAGGGUGGCUGUUCAAAGCCCGACAGCCCCUCCCCCUUUCCCUUAGGUGUAGAUAAUUUCUGUGUAUCCAAAAAACCGUGGUUCCACUAGAAGAAAGCAUAAUCUGUGAGGGUGGGAGCUGAUGAAAAAUGAAAGGGCUUGUCUGAUGAUUAACAAGGCUUUGGAGAAUAGUUCCAUGGCAUAUGAUAUGUGGUGUUCUCUGCAAGUAUGAUGGACCUGGAUUAGAUUGCUACAAAUUAGCAAGGUAGCAACAGAGGUCAUCAAGACUAGGUAUUACAUGACUGACUUUGGUUGUGUUUGUGAAUCUUAAAUUUUGCUGAAAAUGGAGGAAUUAGUGUUAGAAUAAGGCCUGUCAAUAGAUCAGAUUUAAUCUAAAUAACAAAUAUAUGAUCAAUAAUUUGAUAUAAUUCGGAUCUGAUUAACAAUGUUUAGCCCAGACGCAUAUUAAGAUUGGUAAUCCAAAAUUGAAAAAGUGAAUUAAAUUUGGAUUAGAUAAGUGAGUGAUAAAGCUUUUGGAUUGAAACGGAGAAAGCAGAAGCCUCUUUUCGUCUCCUAGUGAUGACUUUUUUUGUUGUUGCUUUUGGUAUUGCUAGGAGGAACUUUUGCCAGAAUACCACCACAACAUCCACACACCACUUCAUAGAUUUGGGAAUCUCAAACUCCCAAACUCCAAUAGCAUAACUAUGACCAAACUUCUCAAAUGAUGUAUCCCCAUUUUCCUAAUGUUUUUGUUUUUGCUUUUUUGGCAAAAAGAAAGGAAAAAUGGUAGGAUCUCUCACUUUCACAGUUCAUAACCCGUUUCAAUACCCGUCACAACCCUUUUUCUUUAAAAUUACUAUUGAAGGUUUUAGAUAUAUGAUACUGUGAUUAAGGAGUGAUUUAGGAAGCUAACUUUUAGCUUUUAACUUUCAACUUAUUUUGGGUUACAUCAUUUUUCAUAUUUUUUACACACAAAAUGACAAAAAUUAAAAAAAAAAAGAAGUUAAAAAACUAACUUUUAACCAACUUUCUAAAUCACCUUUUAAGAGUUGGGCAACUUAAGUAAGUGGUGGAAUGUGAGGGGAAGAGGAAUAAAAUAAUUUUUUUAUAAGUUUGUGUAGUAUAAAAGUUGUGAAAAAUACAAAAAAAUAAAAAAUAAAAAGUUAUACAAUUUAUAUAUGCAUGGUAUCUAGUUUUUUCAUUUGUAAAAACAUACCAAAAAAAAAAAAA